AUUGAACGCUGGCGGCAGGCCUAACACAUGCAAGUCGAACGGUAACAGGAAGCAGCUUGCUGCUUUGCUGACGAGUGGCGGACGGGUGAGUAAUGUCUGGGAAACUGCCUGAUGGAGGGGGAUAACUACUGGAAACGGUAGCUAAUACCGCAUAACGUCGCAAGACCAAAGAGGGGGACCUUAGGGCCUCUUGCCAUCGGAUGCGCCCAGAUGGGAUUAGCUAGUAGGUGGGGUAACGGCUCACCUAGGCGACGAUCCCUAGCUGGUCUGAGAGGAUGACCAGCCACACUGGAACUGAGACACGGUCCAGACUCCUACGGGAGGCAGCAGUGGGGAAUAUUGCACAAUGGGCGCAAGCCUGAUGCAGCCAUGCCGCGUGUAUGAAGAAGGCCUUCGGGUUGUAAAGUACUUUCAGCGGGGAGGAAGGGAGUAAAGUUAAUACCUUUGCUCAUUGACGUUACCCGCAGAAGAAGCACCGGCUAACUCCGUG
rnacentral:rRNA from 1 species